GGAGGAGUGCCCGAGUGGUUAAAGGGGACGGACUGUAAAUCCGUUGGCUAUGCCUACGUUGGUUCAAAUCCAACCUCCUCCACCA
rnacentral:tRNA from 1 species